UACGGAAGGCAGCAGUGGGGAAUAUUGCACAAUGGGCGAAAGCCUGAUGCAGCUAUGCCGCGUGUAUGAAGAAGGCCUUAGGGUUGUAAAGUACUUUCAUCGGGGAGGAAAAAACAAAACUAAUAAUUUUAUUUCUUGACGUUACCCGAAAAAGAAGCACCGGCUAACUCCGUGCCAGCAGCCGCGGUAAUACGGAGGGUGCUAGCGUUAAUCAGAAUUACUGGGCGUAAAGAGCACGUAGGUGGUUUUUUAAGUCAGAUGUGAAAUCCCUGGGCUUAACCUAGGAACUGCAUUUUGAAACUGAAAUACUAGAGUAUCGUAGAGGGAGGUAGAAUUCUAGGUGUAGCGGUGAAAUGCGUAGAUAUCUGGAGGAAUACCUGUGGCGAAAGCGGCCUCCUAAACGAAUACUGACACUGAGGUGCGAAAGCGGUGGGGAGCAAACGAGGAUUAGAUACC
rnacentral:rRNA from 1 species